rnacentral:rRNA from 1 species
GAGUUUGAUCUUGGCUCAGAGUGAACGCUGGCGGCAGGCCUAACACAUGCAAGUCGAGCGGCAGCGCGGGGGCAACCCUGGCGGCGAGCGGCGGACGGGUGAGGAAUGCAUCGGAAUCUACCUCGUUGUGGGGGAUAACCUCGGGAAACCGGGACUAAUACCGCAUACGACCUACGGGUGAAAGUGGGGGACCGCAAGGCCUCACGCGAUGAGAUGAGCCGAUGCCGGAUUAGCUAGUUGGCGGGGUAAAGGCCCACCAAGGCGACGAUCCGUAGCUGGUCUGAGAGGAUGAUCAGCCACACUGGAACUGAGACACGGUCCAGACUCCUACGGGAGGCAGCAGUGGGGAAUAUUGGACAAUGGGCGCAAGCCUGAUCCAGCCAUGCCGCGUGUGUGAAGAAGGCC